rnacentral:rRNA from 1 species
AGAGAGAGACAUGCGCGCAUAUCAAUAAGCGGAGGAAAAGAAACUAACAAGGAUUCCCCUAGUAACGGCGAGUGAAGCGGGAAGAGCUCAAAUUUGAAAUCUUAAAGGGUUUCCCUUUACGAAUUGUAGUUUAAAGAAGUGUUUUCUAGUUGAGGUUUUGGUAAAAGUUCUUUGGAAUAGGACAUCAUAGAGGGUGAGAAUCCCGUAUUUGACCUUUACUUUCAACUUUGUGAUACACUUUCAAAGAGUCGGAUUGUUUGGGAAUGCAGUCCAAAAUGGGUGGUAAAUUUCAUCUAAAGCUAAAUAUUGGCGAGAGACCGAUAGCGAACAAGUACCGUGAGGGAAAGAUGAAAAGAACUUUGAAAAGAGAGUUAAACAGUACGUGAAAUUGUCAAAAGGGAAGCGUUUGACACCAGUGUUGUUUUUCUGAAAAUCAAUUAAAGAACUGUUUAUGCUAAGUUGUUUAGACUUUAUCAGCUAACUGUUUAGUUUUGAGCUUUUCUUUAAUGCACUUUUCAGUUAACAAGUCAACAUCAAUUUCUUUUGCUGUAAAAAAGCUUGAGGAAGGUGGCUUGAGAUUCGUCUUAAGUGUUUAUAGCCUCUUGCCUAUGCAGUCGGAGAGAUUGAGGUCUGCAGCGUAGAUCCUUCGGGGCUAAAUGCAUUUGUGCUAAGUUAUAGCAUUUUAUAGACAACUUGUUGACUAUGAUUUGUCUUGUAGCUUACUCGCUUAUGUUAUUUUACCUACGCUUAGGAUGUUGAGCGCAUGUCUCUCUCU